rnacentral:rRNA from 1 species
UACAGAGGUCCCAAGCGUUGUUCGGAUUCACUGGGCGUAAAGGGGUGCGAUAGGCGGUCGGGUAAGUCUGAUGUGAAAUCUCACAGCUUAACUGUGAAACUGCAUUGGAUACUAUCCGGCUAGAGGAAUGGAGGGGAGACGUGGAAUACUUGGUGUAGCAGUGAAAUGCGUAGAUAUCAAGUGGAACACCAGUGGCGAAGGCGAGUCUCUGGACAUUUCCUGACGCUGAGGCACGAAAGCCAGGGGAGCAAACGGG